rnacentral:rRNA from 1 species
UACGUAGGGGGCAAGUGUUGUCCGGAAUCAUUGGGCGUAAAGCGCGUGUAGGCGGCUCGAUAAGUCUGCUGUGAAAGUCCAGGGCUCAACCCUGGGAUGCCGGUGGAUACUGUCGAGCUCGAGUCCGGAAGAGGAGUGUGGAAUUCCUGGUGUAGCGGUGAAAUGCGCAGAUAUCAGGAGGAACACCAAUGGCGAAGGCAGCACUCUGGGACGUGACUGACGCUGAGACGCGAAAGCGUGGGGAGCAAACAGG